UGAGGAAUAUUGGUCAAUGGGCGCAAGCCUGAACCAGCCAUCCCGCGUGAAGGAAGAAGGCGCUAUGCGUUGUAAACUUCUUUUCCAGGGGGAGAAUUUUUCCGUCGUGACGGGAAUUGACGGUACUCUGGGAAUAAGCAUCGGCUAACUCCGUGCCAGCAGCCGCGGUAAUACGGAGGAUGCGAGCGUUAUCCGGAUUUAUUGGGUUUAAAGGGUGCGUAGGCGGAUAGAUAAGUCAGUGGUGAAAUCCUGCAGCUUAACUGUAGACUUGCCGUUGAUACUGUUAGUCUUGAGUAUGGUCAAGGCAGGCGGUAUGUGUAAUGUAGCGGUGAAAUGCUUAGAUAUUACACAGAACACCGAUUGCGAAGGCAGCUUGCUGGGCCAUUACUGACGCUGAUGCACGAAAGCGUGGGGAUCGAACAG
rnacentral:rRNA from 1 species